AACCCACGUUGUCAGUUACCAUCACGUAAAGGUGGGGACUCUGGCAAGACUGCCGGUGUAAACCGCGAGGAAGGUGUGGAUGACGUCAAAUCAGCACGGCCCUUACAUCCAGGGCUACACACGUGUUACAAUGGCCGGUACAGAGGGCAGCCACCGCGCGAGCGGGAGCCAAUCCCCAAAACCGGUCUCAGUUCGGAUUGGAGUCUGCAACUCGACUCCAUGAAGCUGGAUUCGCUAGUAAUCGCGCAUCAGCCACGGCGCGGUGAAUACGUUCCCGGGCCUUGUACACACCGCCCGUCAAGCCAUGGAAGCCGGGGGUACCUGAAGUCUGUUACCGCAAGGAGCGGCCUAGGGUAAAACUGGUGACUGGGG
rnacentral:rRNA from 1 species